rnacentral:rRNA from 1 species
UACCAGCUCUCCGAGUGGUAGGGAUGCUUAUUGGGCUUAAAGCGUCCGUAGCCGGCUUAGCAAGUCUCCUGUUAAAUUCAGCGACCUAAUCGUUGAGCCGCGGGAGAUACUACUAGGCUAGGAGGCGGGAGAGGUCAACGGUACUUCCGGGGUAGGGGUGAAAUCCUAUAAUCCCGGGAGGACCACCAGCGGCGAAGGCUGUUGACUAGAACGCGCUCGACGGUGAGGGACGAAAGCUGGGGGAGCGAACCGGAUUAGAUACCCGGGUAGUCCCAGCUGUAAACGGUGCGAGCUAGGUGUUGGGGUGGCUACGCGCCACUUCAGUGCCGCAGGGAAGCCAUUGAGCUCGCCGCCUGGGGAGUACGGCCGCAAGGCUGAAACUUAAAGGAAUUGGCGGGGAGCACCGCAAGGCGUGAAGCUUGCGGUUC